CAUAUUAUAGGAUAUUCAAACUAUUUUUUUUCCUAAAACAAAAGCUUAAUUUUUAGGAGUUCGGGAGAACGGCCCAGGACCCUUUUCUUUAGAAACGGGCGCUUUUACAGCUGGAACUAGUCCUCUAACAGGCACAAGGGUUAACAAACUGAGCAGGAAAACAUUCAGACACCGCGACCACAGAGCCCAACCUUACAUCAGAGCCACGCCAGAGAACCGGGUGUGUGGAGAAGCAGGACCAUCCCGAAUAACGCACACUACAAG